UACCUGCAGCUCAAGUGGUGGCCGCUAUUAUUGGGCCUAAAACGUCCGUAGCCGGUUUAUUAAAUGCCUGGGUAAAUCGUGUAGCUUAACUAUACGAAUUCCGGGUAGACUGGUAAACUUGAGAUCGGGAGAAGUUAGAGGUACUCCUGGGGUAGAGGUGAAAUUCUGUAAUCCUAGGGGGACCACCAGUGGCGAAGGCGUCUGACUAGAACGGGUCUGACGGUGAGGGACGAAGCCCUGGGGCGCAAACCGGAUUAGAUACCCGGGUAGUCCAGGGUGUAAACGCUGCUUGCUUGAUGUUAGUCGGGCUCCGAGCCCGAUUAGUGUCGGAGAGAAGUUGUUAAGCAAGCUGCCUGGGAAGUACGGUCGCAAGACUGAAACUUAAAGGAAUUGGCGGGGAGCACAGCAACGGGUGGAGCGUGCGGUUU
rnacentral:rRNA from 1 species